rnacentral:rRNA from 1 species
AUGGCAAGUUCAAUGGACAUAUUCCACCCCAUUUCUCAAGUUCAAUUUCCCUACAGCCCGCAAAGCAUAGUCAAUGCUACAAAUAAGAUCCGAUGUGAAGGAGCUUGUCUUAGUUCUUGUUCUUGCAUUGUUUAUUCCUAUAACAAUAGAAGAUGCACUGUAUGGAAUGGUGAAUUACAUAAUGUAAUUUUGACUGAUGAAGUUUACAGUAUUGGAGAACACGUUCUUUACCUUCGCCUUGCCGCCAAAGAUUCACUGCCAAGUUCAAGAGAAGGCAAAAGAAAACCAAAUGUUGGAAUUGUUAUUGUUGCAAGCAUUAUUGGGUUUGGAUUACUAGUCAUGAUGUUGUUGUUACUGCUUUGGUGGAAAAAUUGA